AGGGCAAAUCUGUCAAUUUGCUCAAAGAUAAAAGAAAUAAUUAGCUUUUCCUCAGCUUUUCCAGAAGACUCCAUCGUUUCAUUUCUUUUUCCCCAACAAUGGAGAAUUCCCAGAAGAAUCCUUCCAAGUGUCCAGAAUUUUCUUUCAUCCAAACUUAAAUUCAAGGUCUACUCAUUAACUUCAUCUUCAUAUAUUUGCCGUAAACUUAAAUUCCAAGAAUGGAGCAUUCUUAGGUCACCUUUUGCCUCAAUAUUUUCCCUAAUCAAGAUUAAAAUUUUCAAUUUCUAAACUAAAAUUCAUAGCUACUGUGGUUAUCGUACUACCCAACUCUCUUCUAUGUUCUCUUUGAUUUUUCAUCUGGUACUGCAAAAUCAAAUUAGCUUUUUCUCUCAAUAUUUCCCUAAUCUUCUUCGGGUGAUGUUCAGAAUUUCCCAAUUUUUAUUGGUUAAAUUCACGUCUUCUACUGUUAUUGUUCUGCCUUAACGCUUUCUUUGAUGUUCUGCCACAUUAAUUUUCUUCCUUUCAAUUUUCAUUAUCUCUUUUUCUCGAACCAGAGAAAUUGAAGAAUGCAAUUGAAAAUUAAUAGCUUCUUCAAGCCUUCUAUCAGUCAUCAUUUACUUACAACUACUUUCUUUUAUUAUAUUGUUUCUUUUGAAUGUCUCUAUGGUAGAUUCUUUUAUUACUUCUUUUUUUUUUGGAAGAGUUUAUCCGUAAUAUUUAUCAAAAAAUUUUCGUUGGUCCUUGUGUGUUAGAAGACAACAAGAGGAUCUUGAGUUGUCCUUGGAAUCAAGCAACUCAAAUAUGCAUUUAAGAUAUUGGCUUUUAAAACUUCAUCUCAAGUUACAAAAAUGUGUAAGUUUUUGUAGACACUUAUCAUGGUCUCUUCAUAUGCUAUUAUAAUAAGUUGGGAUUCAAGCUUUUUCUUUUUAUAUCGUUGAGCUUAUCAUGUGUAUGUUUGAGGUUUUUAAAAGUUUCAUAACUGAAUAAACCAUUUUCUAGCAAUUAAAAGUAAUUGAUUUGUCACUUGUCAGUUUAUCACUACUUAUUGAUAUGUAAGUAUCUAACUUCUUGAUUUAUUUGUUAGAUAGGGAGUUAAUUAUUUACUUGAGUGAUACCUCCAAAUUCUUUUUAAUGGAGUAACUAUAUUUAAAUUGAGCAAAUACUUUCUGCAGUUGCACUAUUGAAAUUUACAUCUACUAUUUCUUCCCUUUUUAAUGAAAGAGGAGCUGCUUUGUUGGUGGAAACUGCAGAUUAGACUAACAAAAUGGAUUACACUACUGUGCGUCAAUAUGUAAUUUUUCGAUAUACUGUGAACUAUUGUCUAUGGCUUUUCAGUUUUUCUUUCUUUUUCCCUUGUUGUCCAUUCCAGUGUAUAAGAGUCUGAUAUGGCAGAAAUAACAUAUUUGUAUAGGUACACUGCUAGAGUUAGAGCUAAAAGCAUACAGAAGAAACAUUGUAAUAGCUUGAAAUUAACUUAAUCAUUUCAAAAUUUCUCCAGAUAUCAAAUAAAUCAGUUUUUGAUGUCGAAACCCCAAAUUUAUUUUAUUCAUCAAAAAAGUUGAUUAAUAAUCAGAUGAUGUAGAAUCUAUAUAAGACAUGUUAUUAAAAUAUGUAGACCUAGAAAGUUCUAAAUCAUAUUUGUCUUUAUUUCCUGAUUUUGUUAUAUCUAGAUACUACAACAUGUACAUCUGAGAAGAAUGCUUAAAUUAUCAAUUUUAGAGUAACUUGAUAGCUGUUACACUUCUAAUUUGUAACUUUUGUAAUCAUAGAUUGAAUGGAUAACUGAAAAUGGUGGACUUUUAUGUGAAUAACAUGAAUAAAAUACUGAUGUAAAUACUUAAAUUUAACGUGGUAAUCCAACUUCCUUGGAAUCAUUUCCUUACAGAUAGCUAUUCGAAUAAGAAAACAAUUAGUUGAUAGUCUCUUCAACCUCAGCUUAUCAGCAACCGAAAGAAAAAUAAUAAUUAAAAAGUAUAGAUAAAGAUAGUUUAUUCAAAAAAAAAGUUGAACCCUUUUCUCUCUGAUUCACUUUUUAGAGGAUUAUGAAUAAUUUUUUUGGUGCCCAAAACAGCAUAAAAUAUCUAUCUUUUUCUGUUUUUCUGCGGUCAUAUCAUCUGGCCCUCUUUCAUUCUCCAAGAUCCAGGCUUACCCCGGUGAGUGUUGGUUGGAUUUUUGAAGUUCUAGCUUAAUAUUUAUGGGUGUAGAUAUAUGUAUUGUAUAGAUGUAAAUCUCUAUUCCUGUAUUGAUAAAUUGGAAGAAAUUUUGGCGCAUUGAUUCGAGAGAAGAGGAGACAGUUGACAGAGAUGUCAGAGGUUUUUUGUGAGGAGUGUGUGACAGACCCACUUGAGUUUAGUUCCAACAAGAACAUGUUAGAUGCUGUAUUUGAUAGUGUCGACCUUCUUCAAAAAAGGAAAGAGUUCACAACGGAGGACGACAGUAAUGUGGACAAGCCUUGAUGCCAUUUAGUUCAUUAACCUUCUUCACAGCGCACUUCAAAUAUGGACACCAGAAUUGAAGUUCACUGCUAUCUUUCUCUGUAAUUCCUAGCGCUGUCGUUAAUGGACGGGUCAAUUUUUCUAUAUUGUCGCAAUAUGCGGAAAUAUGAGUUUCAUGUUGUGGCAUUAGAAUUUAUGUUCCUUAAUCUCCUGAGGUUUCUUCGCCAUUUAUUGGAUCCUAGCUUUGACAAGCUUUCAAUGAUAAAAUUUGAAAUUUUCAAGGAAAAUUGAGACAUGGUUAAACCAACAAAUCAUGUCAAUUCUGGAGAUGGUCCUGACUACAAUAUUGAAGUCAUUGAUGUUUAUGAUAUUGUGUUGUGCAAAUUAAAUUGAACGUAACUAACUAACUGAUCGGCAAUGCAGUGAUAAAUGAUGAGAAAAAUACCAAAGGGAUGUGUGGGUGUUUCAGCUAAUAAUGCCUUCAUUUCAGAUGAAACCUCCUCAUAUCUAAUCCUAAGAUUCUACAACUUUUCAUACAUGCAAUUACACAAUCAGACGAACGAUUGCAAUGUGGCUGUAGGUGCGGUUAGAACUGAUAUUGAUUGUCUGUGUUUGUACCUUAUCAUUAACUUGAGCUAAUUUGCGCAACACUUCCGCUGGCUCUCAAUUUUAUUCCUAUUCAUUUCAUUUGUAAAUAUUGUUGUUGAAGCUUCUUUCAUUUCAUUGUUGUCUCGUAGUAUGUACAAGAUGGAAAGUGUUAUUUUCUUCAAGACAGAUUUGUUAUUUUGAA